rnacentral:lncRNA from 1 species
GACACAUGCAUGCUACAACUAUCCAAACAAGGACAAAUGAAUGUGAUUAUAAGCUAUGUUAGGUCAAGAAUGAAUUUAGAGGCUAAAGAUAGCUUCGGAAACUGAGCCUCUCUGAAUUUCCUGAUGUAUCCUUUGGCUUGCUUUUUAAAGGGUCCUCUCAAGUGAAGGAACACUCCUGUGACAUCACUGGUGGCAAAGGUGGGAAAACGGAGGCGUUUGCCUGUCUUUGCAAAGGCACAAAUGAAACGGUUUCAUGAAGGAAUCACAAAUGACAGGCCUAAGAAGAGUAACGCCUCAGAAGCCUAUGCAGAUCACAAGCCCCUGUUUUCAACAGUCCAUGUAGCUCUCCCUAAGCAGAGUGUCUCCUCGUGCUCGCAUUAAGUCUGUUUAGUUCUU